rnacentral:rRNA from 1 species
CCUUACCUGGUCUUGACAUCCCGAGAAUUUUCUGGAAACAGAGAAGUGCCUCGCAAGAGGAAUUCGGAGACAGGUGCUGCAUGGCUGUCGUCAGCUCGUGUCGUGAGAUGUUGGGUUAAGUCCCGCAACGAGCGCAACCCUUGUCUUUAGUUGCCAUCAUUAAGUUGGGCACUCUAAAGAGACUGCCGGUGUCAAACCGGAGGAAGUGGGGAUGACGUCAAGUCCUCAUGGCCUUUAUGACCAGGGCUACACACGUACUACAAUGGCAGGUACAAAGGGCAGCCACUUAGCGAUAAGGCGCGAAUCCCGUAAAACCUGUCUCAGUCCGGAUUGGAGUCUGCAACUCGACUCCAUGAAGUUGGAAUCGCUAGUAAUCGCAGAUCAGCACGCUCGCGGUCGAAUACGUUCCGGGCCUU